UCCUCCAUAGCUCAAUUGGCAGAGCAAUCGGCUGUUAACCGAUAGGUUUCUGGUUCGAGUCCAGAUGGGGGAGCCA
rnacentral:tRNA from 2 species